rnacentral:rRNA from 1 species
GUCCACGCUGUAAACGAUGGGCACUAGGUGUCCGGGGUAUUGACCCCCUGGGUGCCGCAGCUAACGCAUUAAGUGCCCCGCCUGGGGAGUACGGUCGCAAGAUUAAAACUCAAAGGAAUUGACGGGGCCCGCACAAGCGGUGGAGCAUGUGGUUUAAUUCGACGCAACGCGAAGAACCUUACCUGGGCUAGACAACAGCGGAUCGUCCUAGAAAUAGGAACUUCCCUUCGGGGACCGCUGGUUCAGGUGCUGCAUGGCUGUCGU